rnacentral:misc_RNA from 1 species
UUGCUUACUCUCAGAAAUGGCUUGGAUCUGUGUUCAGAAGUGCUUGGCAGCUGGGAAGGUUUUUAUAGGUCAAAAACCAUCUCAGAUGACCUGCAUCAGAUUAUUAGAGACCCUUCCUGUUGUUUUCAGAAGGCUUUGCCGAGUACCAACUACCGUGCUUAAUAAUGCAGUGACACAAUGUCUUCGUGAUCUGAUAGAUUGGGG